rnacentral:rRNA from 1 species
GACGAACGCUGGCGGCGUGCCUAAUACAUGCAAGUAGAACGCUGAAGAGAGGAGCUUGCUCUUCUUGGAUGAGUUGCGAACGGGUGAGUAACGCGUAGGCAACCUGCCUUGUAGCGGGGGAUAACUAUUGGAAACGAUAGCUAAUACCGCAUAACAAUGGAUGACACAUGUCAUUUAUUUGAAAGGGGCAAUUGCUCCACUACAAGAUGGACCUGCGUUGUAUUAGCUAGUAGGUGAGGUAAUGGCUCACCUAGGCGACGAUACAUAGCCGACCUGAGAGGGUGAUCGGCCACACUGGGACUGAGACACGGCCCAGACUCCUACGGGAGGCAGCAGUAGGGAAGCUUCGGCAAUGGGGGCAACCCUGACCGAGCAACGCCGCGUGAGUGAAGAAGGGUUUCGGAUCGUAAAGCUCUGUUGUAAGUCAAGAACGGGUGUGAGAGUGGAAAGUUCACACUGUGACGGUAGCUUACCAGAAAGGGACGGCUAACUACGUG